rnacentral:rRNA from 1 species
UACGAAGGGGGCUAGCGUUGUUCGGAUUUACUGGGCGUAAAGGGCGCGUAGGCGGGCGAUUAAGUCAGGGGUGAAAUCCCAAGGCUCAACCUUGGAACUGCCUUUGAUACUGAUUGUCUUGAGUCCGGGAGAGGUGAGUGGAACUGCGAGUGUAGAGGUGAAAUUCGUAGAUAUUCGCAAGAACACCAGUGGCGAAGGCGGCUCACUGGCCCGGAACUGACGCUGAGGCGCGAAAGCGUGGGGAGCAAACAGG